AUGCGAGCUUACGCAGACAACAAGGCUGGCAUUGUUGUUAAUCUGGCACUCGGUACUAGCUUUGACACAGUUGAGGAAGCGUAUGAGUUUUACAACCUAUACUCCUCAAAGAUGGGCUUUGGCGUGAGGUAUGCCAAGAGCAGGUUGAACGUCCAUCGGACAAAAUGGACAAAAUGUAUGCAGGAGUUCAUGUGCGCAUGUGCGGUGAGGGUGAUUCAUUAA
rnacentral:rRNA from 1 species